GACAUAAAUAACCUACGAAAGUGACUUUAAUAAUCCUAAACAUACAAUAGCUAGGGUACAAACUGAGAUUAGAUACCUCACUAUGCCUAGCCCUAAACUUUGAUAGCUACCUUUACAAAGCUAUCCGCCAGAGAACUACUAGCCAGAGCUUAAAACUUAAAGGACUUGGCGGUGCUUUAUAUCCACCUAGGGGAGCCUGUCUUAUAACCGAUGAACCCCGAUAUACCUUACCGUCACUUGCUAAUUCAGUCCAUAUACCACCAUCUUCAGCAAACCCCUAUAGGGCACAAAAGUGAGCUUAAUCAUAACCCAUGAAAAAGUUAGGCCGAGGUGUCGCCUACAUGACGGUCAAAGAUGGGCUACAUUUUCUAUUAUAGAACAGACAAACGGAUAUCACCCUGAAACGAGUGAUUGAAGGCGAAUUUAGUAGUAAACUAAGAAUAGAGAGCUUAAUUGAACAAGGCCAUGAAGCGCGUACACACCGCCCGUCACUCUCCUCAAGUACUUCCAUAUCAAACAAUCAUAUUACAGAUUAAAACAAAUACAAGAGGAGACAAGUCGUAACAAGGUAAGCGUACUGGAAAGUGUGCUUGGGUAACUCAAAGU
rnacentral:ncRNA from 1 species